GUUCCAUUGUAAUAUCAGGAAGCGCUGAAUAUAAAUCUUUUUACUGACCUUGUGAGAAUGAAGAUUCUUGCAAGUGAGCCUGCGUUGGAUGUGUGGGAAGAUUGGCGACUGGCGCAGCACCUGUAGUAGCUGCUCCGUGCCCAGGAUAUACAUGAUGUCCAUGAGGAUGUCCUGAAUGAAGUAUUUGGAUUAUUUUGGCGGGAUAAACUUAUGUCAGCCUUGGGUGGAGAUGGAGAAAAAAAAAAGUAAAAUGCGUCUUAUUGGAGAGUAAUGAUUUACAGCAGAAAAAUUGAGUAUAUAGUUUUAUGGAGGGUUCUGGAUGUAUAUGUACGGUCUCAAUGGUGGCCGGCGUGUGGCCGUCGUUCGACCAGAGGAAAUCGGCUUGAGUUUUAAAUUAUUUUAUCUACAUUACACAGAUAUAUUUUAGUACAAUGAAAAUGACUUUAGCACCAAGUAAGUGACCUCGAACCCUCGCCCCUUCAGGUAAUUUACAAUCUACAAUGUGCUAGCUCACUAUUAUAUACAAGUACUUACAGUUUUUGUAAGGACUAGAAACUUUUACUGGAAAGCAUGUUUUUUUUUUUUUUUUUUUUUUUUUUACAACUCACAAA